AAACACUGGCCUCAGGUGGCGAACGUUGUGAUGGUAGGGACCAAAAGAAACCACCGCCGGAGUGAAGGCGCGUUCUCUGAUGUCUCUGACGAAGGAGGGCACCCGGUAUAUCGACGUCGCCGUCCAAUUCUUCUCUUCUUCGCAAAGGUUGAAAGACUCAACCCCGGUGUCAAUGUCAACCAUCCAAUCACCUAACUCAGUGCUCAUAGCAGGACCCUCAGCC
rnacentral:lncRNA from 1 species